AGGGAACGUCCGGCAGUGAUGGCCCCCCUGGUCCUCCUGGAGAAAGGGGAUUGCCUGGGCUUCAGGGAGCCAACGGUUUCCCAGGACCAAAAGGACCUCCUGGACCUCCAGGAAAGGAUGGACUCCCUGGACAUCCUGGACAAAGAGGAGAAGUUG